AGAGUUUGAUCAUGGCUCAGGAUGAACGCUGGCGGCGUGCCUAACACAUGCAAGUCGAGCGAAGCACUUUACUUCGAUUUCUUCGGAUUGAAAAGUUUUGUGACUGAGCGGCGGACGGGUGAGUAACGCGUGGGUAACCUGCCCCAUACAGGGGGAUAACAGUUAGAAAUGACUGCUAAUACCGCAUAAGACCACAGCACCGCAUGGUGCAGGGGUAAAAACUCCGG
rnacentral:rRNA from 1 species